CGGGUGAGUAACAUGUAGGUAUCUUCCCUUUGGGCCUGGAAUAACACGAGGAAACUUGUGCUAAUACCGGAUAAGUCUUUACGGAGAAAGCUUUAUGCACCAUUGGAUGAGCCUGCACUUGAUUAGUUUGUUGGUGGGGUAAUGGCCUACCAAGACUUUGAUCAAUAGCUGAUUUGAGAGGAUGAUCAGCCACAUUGGGACUGAGACACGGCCCAAACUCCUACGGGAGGCAGCAGUGGGGAAUCUUGCACAAUGGAGGAAACUCUGAUGCAGCGAUGCCGCGUGAGUGAAGAAGGCCUUUGGG
rnacentral:rRNA from 1 species